UUGGUACGGGAGGCAGCAGUGGGGAAUCUUCCGCAAUGGACGAAAGUCUGACGGAGCAACGCCGCGUGAGUGAUGACGGCCUUCGGGUUGUAAGCUCUGUUAAUCGGGACGAAAGGUCCUCUUGCGAAUAGUUAGAGGAAUUGACGGUACCGGAAUAGAAAGCCACGGCUAACUACGUGCCAGCAGCCGCGGUAAUCCAA
rnacentral:rRNA from 1 species